rnacentral:rRNA from 1 species
AGCGAACGCUGGCGGCAGGCCUAACACAUGCAAGUCGAACGGACCCUUCGGGGUUAGUGGCGGACGGGUGAGUAACACGUGGGAACGUGCCCUUUGGUUCGGAAUAGCUCCUGGAAACGGGUGGUAAUGCCGAAUGUGCCCUUCGGGGGAAAGAUUUAUCGCCAUUGGAGCGGCCCGCGUCUGAUUAGCUAGUUGGUAGUGUAACGGACUACCAAGGCGACGAUCAGUAGCUGGUCUGAGAGGAUGAUCAGCCACAUUGGGACUGAGACACGGCCCAAACUCCUACGGGAGGCAGCAGUGGGGAAUCUUGCGCAAUGGGCGAAAGCCUGACGCAGCCAUGCCGCGUGAAUGAUGAAGGUCUUAGGAUUGUAAAAUUCUUUCACCGGGGACGAUAAUGACGGUACCCGGAGAAGAAGCCCCGGCUAACUUCGUGCCAGCCGCCGCGGUAAUAC